GUCGAACGAUGAAGCCCAGCUUGCUGGGUGGAUUAGUGGCGAACGGGUGAGUAACACGUGAGUAACCUGCCCUUAACUCUGGGAUAAGCCUGGGAAACUGGGUCUAAUACCGGAUAGGAGCGUCCACCGCAUGGUGGGUGUUGGAAAGAUUUAUCGGUUUUGGAUGGACUCGCGGCCUAUCAGCUUGUUGGUGAGGUAAUGGCUCACCAAGGCGACGACGGGUAGCCGGCCUGAGAGGGUGACCGGCCACACUGGGACUGAGACACGGCCCAGACUCCUACGGGAGGCAGCAGUGGGGAAUAUUGCACAAUGGGCGAAAGCCUGAUGCAGCGACGCCGCGUGAGGGAUGACGGCCUUCGGGUUGUAAACCUCUUUCAGUAGGGAAGAAGCGAAAGUGACGGUACCUGCAGAAGAAGCACCGGCUAACUACGUGCCAGCAGCCGCGGUAAUACGUAGGGUGCGAGCGUUAUCCGGAAUUAUUGGGCGUAAAGAGCUCGUAGGCGGUUUGUCGCGUCUGUCGUGAAAGUCCGGGGCUUAACCCCGGAUCUGCGGUGGGUACGGGCAGACUAGAGUGCAGUAGGGGAGACUGGAAUUCCUGGUGUAGCGGUGGAAUGCGCAGAUAUCAGGAGGAACACCGAUGGCGAAGGCAGGUCUCUGGGCUGUAACUGACGCUGAGGAGCGAAAGCAUGGGGAGCGAACAGGAUUAGAU
rnacentral:rRNA from 1 species